UUCAUUGGGCGUAAAGGGUGUGUAGGUGGCGCCGUAAGUCGGGUGUGAAAUUUCGGAGCUUAACUCCGAACUGCAUUCGAUACUGCGGUGCUUGAGGACUGGAGAGGAGACUGGAAUUCAUGGUGUAGCAGUGAAAUGCGUAGAGAUCAUGAGGAAGACCAGUGGCGAAGGCGGGUCUCUGGACAGUUCCUGACACUGAGACACGAAGGCCAGGGGAGCAAAGCGGG
rnacentral:rRNA from 1 species